rnacentral:rRNA from 1 species
GACGAACGCUGGCGGCGUGCCUAAUACAUGCAAGUAGAACGCUGAAGAGAGGAGCUUGCUCUUCUUGGAUGAGUUGCGAACGGGUGAGUAACGCGUAGGUAACCUGCCUGGUAGCGGGGGAUAACUAUUGGAAACGAUAGCUAAUACCGCAUAAAAUUGAUUAUUGCAUGAUAGUCAAUUAAAAGGUGCAAUUGCAUCACUACCAGAUGGACCUGCGUUGUAUUAGCUAGUUGGUGAGGUAACGGCUCACCAAGGCAACGAUACAUAGCCGACCUGAGAGGGUGAUCGGCCACACUGGGACUGAGACACGGCCCAGACUCCUACGGGAGGCAGCAGUAGGGAAUCUUCGGCAAUGGGGGGAACCCUGACCUAGCAACGCCGCGUGAGAUGAACAAGGUUGUUCGGAUCGUAAAGCUCGGUUGUAAGAGAAGAGCGGGUGUGAGAGUGGAAAGUUCACACUGUGACGGUAUCUUACCAGAAAGGGACGGCUAACUACGUGCCAGCAGCCGCGGUAAUACGUAGGUCCCGAGCGUUGUCCGGACUUAUUGGGCGUAAAGCGAGCGCAGGCGGUUAGAUAAGUCUGAAGUUAAAGGCUGUGGCUUAACCAUAGUAUGCUUUGGAAACUGUUUAACUUGAGUGCAGAAGGGGAGAGUGGAAUUCCAUGUGUAGCGGUGAAAUGCGUAGAUAUAUGGAGGAACACCGGUGGCGAUUGCGGCUCUCUGGUCUGUAACUGACGCUGAGGCUCGAAAGCGUGGGGAGCAAACAGGAUUAGAUACCCUGGUAGUCCCACGCCGUAAAACGAUGAGUGCUAGGUGUUAGGCCCCUUUUCCGGGGCCUUUAGUUGCCCGCAGCCUAAACGGCAUUUAAUGCCACCUCCCGGCCCUGGGGGGAAGUUACCGAACCCGCCAAAGGGUUUUG